AUGUUCUCCGUUAGCAACGGUGAUCUUUACCCCUUCUACGGCAAUAACCAUGCACCACCAUCGGCGUUCACCGUCUCCACGUCGGAUCUGUGGCAUCGUCGACUUGGGCACCCCGGCGCUCACUCCCUGUCUACCAUAGCCAACGAUUUCCUUAGCUCAUGUAAUAAAAGUGCACACAUUCCAUGUAACGCUUGUCAACUAGGUCGCCAAGCGCGUCUCCCUUUUUCCCCCUCUUUUAGCAAAACCUACGCCCCCUUUGAUUUAAUACAUUGUGACUUGUGGACAUCUUCAGUUGUAAGCUUCUCCGGUUUUCAAUAUUAUCUUGUUGUGCUCGAUGAUUUCACACACUACUCUUGGACGUUUCCCUUGCGCAACAAAUCGGACACCUCCACCACACUACAAUGCUUUUUCACAUUUAUUCACACCCAAUACAAUGUCAUUAUCAAAGCCAUGCAAUGCGAUAAUGGAGGGGGGUUCAUCAACUCAUCCCUCCGCUCCUUCUCUGCCAAUGGCAUAGUGUAUCGCUUCUCCUGCCCACACACCUCUCCCCAAAACGGCAAAGCGGAGCGUCUCAUUCGAACAACAAACGACGUCGUUCGCUCCCUCCUCAUCCAAGCCAACCUUACUCCCCCUUUUUGGGUCGAAGCUCUACAUACUGCCACCUACCUUCUCAAUCGCCACCCCUCUCGAGCCAUUGCUGACCAAACACCAUACUUUCUUCUCCACGGCGCUCAUCCAUCGUAUGACCAUUUACGCGUGUUUGGAUGCCUGUGUUUUCCCAACACAUCCGCAACCCUGCCUCAUAAACUUUCCCCUCGCUCCACUCGGUGCAUUUUCUUACGGUACCCACUAGAACACAAGGGGUACGGGUGCUAUGACUUAUCCACUCGACGCGUUAUUGUCUCUCGGCAUGUCAUUUUUGACGAAAGUUCAUUUCCUUAUACACCGCCCAUAGCACCAGCUACACAAUCUAACCCCGCACCGGAUCCACUCGCCUGCACCCAAUCUCUUGGAUCUGCCGCCCCCGCC
rnacentral:rRNA from 1 species